rnacentral:rRNA from 1 species
GACGAACGCUGGCGGCGUGCUUAACACAUGCAAGUCGAACGGAAAGGCCCUGCUUUUGUGGGGUGCUCGAGUGGCGAACGGGUGAGUAACACGUGAGUAACCUGCCCUUGACUUUGGGAUAACUUCAGGAAACUGGGGCUAAUACCGGAUAGGAGCUCCUGCUGCAUGGUGGGGGUUGGAAAGUUUCGGCGGUUGGGGAUGGACUCGCGGCUUAUGAGCUUGUUGGUGGGGUAGUGGCUUACCAAGGCUUUGACGGGUAGCCGGCCUGAGAGGGUGACCGGCCACAUGGGGACUGAGGUACGGCCCAGACUCCUACGGGAGGCAGCAGUGGGGAAUAUUGCACAAUGGGCGGAAGCCUGAUGCAGCAACGCCGCGUGCGUGAUGACGGCCUUCGGGUUGUAAACCGCUUUCGCCUGUGACGAAGCGUGAGUGACGGUAAUGGGUAAAGAAGCACCGGCUAACUACGUG